AUCCAAUAAAUCCACCGUUGCGAUCCAACAAAAUUGAGUCCAUCGUUCUGUAGGUCUCGUCUGCUUUCUCGAUCCUCCUCCUCCUUCUACCUCCACCAUCGGGCUUCUAGAAGUCCCCUGAAGACCUUCUACUGCCUUAAAUAUCCUUAUGUAUGCCAUCGAAACCCGAUAUAAACUGACUCCAAGCGCCAUUUCCAUUCCAAAAUGGAUACCAAAACUAAGCAUGAGGACUCGCUUCCUUGCCACCGACUACUUCGCCUCCCAUUCCUGGAUCAAAACCCUGAGAGACUUUCAAUUCCUCCCCCUUCCGCUGCAAAAUCUCCUCCCUUUUGAUCCUCCUCUAGGCGUCGAGAUCCCUUUCUUCGAUCUCGAUCUUCGCUUUCCUUCCAAAAUCUAUGGAUUUUCGAUCGAGAAUGCUCUCUCUCAGUUCCUCUCGGAUGUUGUCCCUUGGUUUGUUCAUGCUGGAGAGGGAACCUCCAUUGAUUCCAGCUCUCGGAACAGAAAGCUGGAGUGAUUUAGGUCUGGAUCGGCCGAGAUCGGCGUAUCUGAGAGAAGAGAUGAUGACUCUUAGGAGGAAGAGAACCGGGAGAGUUGGGAGUGCUCCGACGCUGGAGCAGAUGCUGUUGAUGUAUUAAAUCAGCAAGUAGUGGAUUUUCUUCAUGAAGAGAAGAUAGUAGAGAAGUGUUCAGAUUCUGUCACUAAAACUCCAGUGGUUUGCGGCAUAUUUCGAUCUUAUGGAGUAGAAAGUGAUGAUUUCUUCUUCUUUGUCCUUGUACUAUCUAGGAAAACUCUUCAUUUUUUUGUUGUAUAGAGCCAGAGGAGCAAAUUGCAGAAGGAAUUAUGGUUUGAAAUAGUGGAAAUGGAACCCCCCUGAGAGAAACUAUGAGCUCCUGUGAAGCAGAGGAAGCUGGAUUCUGCUUUGAACUUCCAAAUAUUAAAAUUCUUCUGGACAAUCAUGCUUAUUGCAGAGGGCGUACCGAUGAGUCAUCAUCAUCUAUGGAGUGCAGUCGCAUCGAGGCCCAGGUGUUCACUGAGCUUAUAGGACUAGAGCAUUAUGGCAGAGUGAGGAGUUAUGGAAUUGGAGUCACUCCCACUCAGUUGUCUGCAAUGUGCAGAUAUACUCAGGAGUGUAGACAGAACAACAGUAUUGCAGAGGUCUAUAAGCUAGAAAUAUAGAUACAGGAGAUGAGUCAGUGACAUGAUCUACAUAUAGAGAAGUUAAAGCAAAGCUAUCAGACAGAGAUAGUGUCAUUGAGGACUUAGGUAGAUCAGAUUACAUCUUUUUUACAUGGUUUUCUCCCGCAUCAGGUAAUUAGUUACGUAUAAUUUCUGGAUUUUAUAUUAUUUUCAUGUAUAUCUUUAUUGUAUAGGCUUUAUGAGUUGUAUGUACUGAUUUCUCUAUUCUUUACUUAGUAAGCUUUUUUUUGCUCCUUACAGGAUCCCGAUACUUUCAGUAGUCAUCAAGAUGAUGAUACCAUGCACAAGUGAUAGCCUUCUCUUUUCUUUUCAGUAUGGGUUCUACUUGAAUUCCCUCUUGUUCAGUUUGAGCUUUUAGUUUAGGGCUUAUAGUUUUGGUUUCAUUGGUUAUGGAUUCUUUCGGGUGUAGCUAAUUUUGGUGUUAUGGUGUCCUUUCCAUUAAUUGAUAUGUUAUGCUGCAAAAUUAUGACCUAAUCCAGGUCUGGUCAUUAUGGAUAUGGUGGUUUUGUGAUGAUUGACUAACAGAUAUCAUUUUAAGAGCAUAUCUUUCUCUUAUGAACUUCAAACUUAAUGAAAUGGGUUUUAUUUUAUUUACUU